rnacentral:rRNA from 1 species
GACGAACGCUGGCGGCGUGGAUUAGGCAUGCAAGUCGAACGGUAUCAUCCUUUCGGGGGUGAGAGAGUGGCGAACUGGUGAGUAACACGUAGGUUAUCUACCCUCAAGACGGGGACAACCCAGGGAAACUUGGGCUAAUACCGGAUGUGAGCAACUUUUAGUUGUUUGAAAGGUGGCGUAAGCUGUCGCCUGGGGAUGAGCCUGCGUCCUAUUAGUUAGUUGGUGAGGUAACGGCUCACCUAGGCAAUGAUAGGUAGGCGGCCUUAACGGGUGGUCGCCCACACUGGGAUUGAGAUACGGCCCAGACUCCUACGGGAGGCAGCAGUCGAGAAUAGUCUACAAUGGUCGGAAGACUGAUAGUGCGACGCCGCGUGAACGAUGAAUCCCUUCGGGGUGUAAAGUUCUUUUAUAUGUGAGCAGUGCUUCUUAUAUUAACAGUAUGGGGAGAGAGAUAUUAGCAUAUGAAUAAGCAACGGCUAACUCCGUGCCAGCAGCCGCGGUAAUA